rnacentral:rRNA from 1 species
UACGGAGGGGGCUAGCGUUGUUCGGAAUUACUGGGCGUAAAGCGCGCGUAGGCGGUUUGAAAAGUCAGAUGUGAAAGCCCCGGGCUCAACUUGGGAACUGCAUUUGAUACUGUCAGACUAGAGUACAGAAGAGGUGACUGGAAUUCCCAGUGUAGCGGUGAAAUGCGUAGAUAUUGGGAGGAACACCAGAUGCGAAGGCGGGUCACUGGGCUGAUACUGACGCUGAAGCGCGAAAGCCAGGGGAGCGAACGGG